CCUACGGGAGGCAGCAGUGAGGAAUAUUGGUCAAUGGGCGGAAGCCUGAACCAGCCAAGUCGCGUGAGGGAAUAAGGCCCUACGGGUCGUAAACCUCUUUUGCCGGGGAGCAAGGGCCGGUACGCGUCCCGGCCCGGAGAGUACCCGGAGAAAAAGCCUCGGCUAACUCCGUGCCAGCAGCCGCGGUAAUACGGAGGAUGCGAGCGUUAUCCGGUUUUAUUGGGUUUAAAGGGUGCGUAGGCGGGCUUUUAAGUCAGCGGUAAAAAUUCGGGGCUCAACCCCGUCCGGCCGUUGAAACUGGGGGCGUUGAGUGGGCGAGAAGAAGGAGGAAUGCGUGGUGUAGCGGUGAAAUGCAUAGAUAUCACGAAGAACCCCGAUUGCGAAGGCAGCCUGCCGCAGCGUUACUGACGCUGAAGCUCGAAAGCGCGGGUAUCGAACAGGAUUAGAUACCCUAGUAGUC
rnacentral:rRNA from 1 species